UACGUAGGGUGCGAGCGUUGUCCGGAUUUAUUGGGUUUAAAGGGUGCGUAGGCGGGAUAUUAAGUCAGUGUUCAAAAACGGCAGCUCAACUGUCGGCCGGGCAUUGAUACUGGUAUUCUUGAGACCAUUGGGGGCAGCCGGAAUUUGUGGUGUAGCGGUGAAAUGCGCAGAUAUCAGGAGGAACACCGGUGGCGAAGGCGGGACUCUGGGCCGAUACUGACGCUGAGGAGCGAAAGCGUGGGGAGCAAACAGG
rnacentral:rRNA from 1 species